rnacentral:lncRNA from 1 species
CUCGCGGCGCUUGUGGCCCCAGCCACAGCCGCCACUGCCUACCGGCCGGACUGGAACCGUCUGAGCGGCCUAACCCGCGCCCGGGUAGAGACCUGCGGGGGAUGACAGCUGAACCGCCUAAAGGAGGUGAAGGCUUUCGUCACGCAGGACAUUCCAUUCUAUCACAACCUGGUGAUGAAACACCUCCCUGGGGCCGACCCUGAGCUCGUGCUGCUGGGCCGCCGCUACGAGGAACUAGAGGUGAGGCCGUGGGAGGUGGGCUGGGGGCGAGGCCAGAGGCGAGGCCCAGCCUGCUGACCCCGCCCCUCCUCCGCCUCAGCGCAUCCCACUCAGU